rnacentral:rRNA from 1 species
UACAGAGGGUGCGAGCGUUAAUCGGAAUUACUGGGCGUAAAGCGCGCGUAGGCGGCUUUUCAAGUCGAUUGUGAAAUCCCCGGGCUUAACCUGGGAAUGGCGUUUGAAACUACGGAGCUGGAGUGUGGCAGAGGGAGGUAGGAUUCCACGUGUAGCGGUGAAAUGCGUAGAUAUGUGGAGGAAUACCGAUGGCGAAGGCAGCCUCCUGGGCCAACACUGACGCUCAUGCACGAAAGCGUGGGGAGCAAACAGG